AACCUCCAAACCAAACUUUAAAAAAAUUCUUUGAAUUCUUUAAAAAAUGUUAUGCGAUAAGUUAAAAAUUCCUUUUUGGACUAAUUUAUGAAAUAUUGUUUGAGGUUUGUUAUAAACAUAAGGUUAAUGUAAUGUUUUGUACAUGCGAUUUUGUUUAACGACUCUGACGCUGAAAAUGCCGCAACUCCAACUCAGACUCCACAUCCCUGGCUGAAAAUUCAAAUAACUUAUCAUGGCCAAUGACAUGGGUUUCGAAAUGGAGGGGCACAAUUGUUAAUUUCUAAAAAAAGUCCUAUAUGCAUGGGAUUUUCUUUAAAAAAAAAAGAAAAAAAAGACCUAAAGCAUCUACCCAUUACCACCACAUUUAGAAAAAGGUGGUAGUGGUGGGUAGGUGCUUCAUUAUCCCCCCUCCCCUCACACUGUUUUGUAAGCCCUGCUUAUUAAGUCUUACUGCAAACUGUAUUUUAAAUAGUACAUCUGCUUUGUCAAAUAAGUUUAUUCAAAAUAUUGAGAAACCGUUUGUGUCAGAUACUUACGAAAUUUUGAUAAAUGUGAGCGUUACGAUCGUCUAAGUGAAAGUGAUGACAGAAAAGAUUACGAUGAUUUAUUCAUUGAAUGUUUUUAUGAAAGUCAAUCAUCAUUUAAUGAUGAAAUUAAAUCAAUUGUUGAUAAACGAAAGUGGUGUAUUUUGAUUCACGAUUGGAAAACUUCUUACUUAACUUCUUGCGAAAAUUAUUUCAUAAAUCAUUACGUAAAAUCUGGAAGAAAGUUAUCGUUGUUACAUGUUAAUAAAAAUAUUUUAAGUGAUGAAGAAAAAAAUCUUUUAAUACAAUGUUCAACUAAUGUUCGCGAGGUCAGCUUUCUUCGUCCAAUUAAUUUCGAAGGAUGGAAACCGAAAGAUAAGAUUGAAAAGUUAGAGAUAUGGAUCUCAGGUUAUUUAAUAACAAAAAAAGAUUUUGAAGAAAAUUUUCUUCCGUGGAUUAAUCUUUGUAAAGAAUUAGAUCUUCUUUACGACGUCUUAAAAUCUUCUUUACGACGUCUUAAUAAAAUCAAUGUCGUCUUCACGACGACAUUGAUUUUAUUAAAGAAAUUUGUGAAUGGAUUCGUUGUUCGAAUGUCAAGAAGUUUAUGAUCAAGUACCGUGGAGAAUAUUUUUAUAACCUCGAUGAAUUAAAAAACUUUA